AAAAGGAAAAAUGGGGGAACCCCUUGGGAAGGGCUUUUUUUUUUUGUAAGAAGGUAGGGGGGAACCUGGGAGCAAAAAGGUUUGAAACCCGGUUUCCCCCCCUUAAACUGAAUCCUAAAUUAAAGGUUUUCCCCUUUAGGGGGCGAGCUAAGCCUUAAACCACCCGCCCGGGGGAGACGGGUGGCAGGCUGUAAAUCAAAGAAAUAUACAGGGCGCCGCACACACGCGUGUGGACGCACUGUGUUUAUUGGAGCCAACCGAAGAACCUUACCAGGUCUUGACAUCCUCUUGACAACCCAGAAGAUUGGGCUUUUCCUCUCGGGGGACAGAGUGACAGGUGGGCAUGGUGUCGUCAGCUCGUGUCGUGAGAUGUUGGGUUUAGUCCCGCAACGAGCGCACCCCUUGAUCUUAGUUGCAGCAUUCAGUGGGGCACUCUAAGAUGACUGCCGGUGACAAACCGGAGGAGGUGGGGUUGACGUCAAAUCAUCAUGCCCCUUAUGACCUGGGCUACACACGUGCUACAAUGGACGGUACAAAGGGCAGCAAGACCGCGAGGUUUAGCAAAUCCCAUAAAACCGUUCUCAGUUCGGAUGCAGGCUGCAACUCGCCUGCAUGAAGCUGGAAUCGCUAGUAAUCGCGGAUCAGCAUGCCGCGGUGAAUACGUUCCCGGGCCUUGUACACACCGCCCGUCACACCACGAGAGUUUGUAACACCCGAAGUCGGUGAGGUAACCUUUUGGA
rnacentral:rRNA from 1 species